rnacentral:rRNA from 1 species
UACGUAGGCAGCGAGCGUUGUUCGGAGUUACUGGGCGUAAAGGGUGUGUAGGCGGUUUUCUAAGUUUGGUGUGAAAUCUCCCGGCUCAACCGGGAGGGUGCGCCGAAAACUGGGAGACUAGAGUGCGGGAUGGGAGAGUAGAAUUCCUGAUGUAGCGGUGAAAUGCGUAGAUAUCAGGAGGAAUACCGGUGGUGUAGACGGCUCUCUGGACCGCCACUGACGCUGAGACACGAAAGCGUGGGUAGCAAACAGG